rnacentral:rRNA from 1 species
UACAGAGGGGGCAAGCGUUGUUCGGAAUUACUGGGCGUAAAGGGCGCGUAGGCGGCCAACUAAGUCGGACGUGAAAUCCCCAGGCUCAACCUGGGAACUGCGAUCCGAUACUGGAUGGCUUGAAUCCGGGAGAGGGAUGCAGAAUUCCAGGUGUGAGCGGUGAAAUGCGUAGAUAUCUGGAGGAAUACCGGUGGCGAAGGCGGCAUCCUGGACCGGCAUUGACGCUGAGGAGCGAAAGCCAGGGGAGCAAAGCGGG